CUGCAGCCAAUUAAGGUGACUGUGCUGCCCUCCCCAUGGCUCCCGGUGCAAACAGCAGCCUCCUGGGUAGUGUAUGCAGCCUGUUGCUUGUAUAGGCUGCCCUAAGGGACCCUGGAGACAACC
rnacentral:snoRNA from 1 species